CCAGGUUGAUUCUGCCUGACGUAGACGCUAUUCCCUAAGAUUAACCCAUGCAUGUUUUUGAAGAUUAUUAUCUGAAAAAUGGACUGCUCAGUAAUACUCACUUUAUUUUAUGUGCACCGCAGAUAACUACGUUAAAGUGUAGAUAACAUGUGUACAGUAAGAGUGAGACCUAUCAGCUAGUUGUCAAGGUAAUGGCUUAACAAGGCAGUGACGGGUAACGGUAUUACUUUGUAAUAUUCCGGAGAAGGAGCCUGAGAGACGGCUACUAAGUCUAAGGAUUGCAGCAGGGGCGAAACUUGACCUAUGGAUUUUAUCUGAGGCAGUUAUGGGAAGUAAUAUAUUAUUGUUUCAUAUUUUAAAAAUAUAUGAGGUGAUUAAUUGGAGGGCAAAUCAAGUGCCAGCAGCCGCGGUAAUACUUGUUCCAAGAGUGUGUACGAUGAUUGAUGCAGUUAAAAAGUCCGUAGUUUAUUUUUAAGAAGCAAUAUGAGGUGUACUGUAUAGUUGGGAGAGAGAUGAAAUGUGACGACCCUGACUGGACGAACA
rnacentral:rRNA from 1 species